AACUUUUGACAAUGGAUCACUUGGCUCUCGCAUCGAUGAAGAACGCAGCGAAAUGCGAUAAGUAAUGUGAAUUGCAGAUUUUCAGUGAAUCAUCGAAUCUUUGAACGCACCUUGCGCCCCUUGGUAUUCCGAGGGGCAUGCCUGUUUGAGUGUCAUCAAAUCCUCAACCCCCUCCGAUUUGUUUCGGUGGGGGAUUGGACUUGGAGCGUGCUGGCGAAGGUCGGCUCCUCUUUAAAUGCAUCAGCGGAGAAAAUGCCUUUUGCGCCUCUGGCCGUUCAGCGUGAUAAUGACGUUGCGCUGCGGUCGAGCUCAAGGUCCGCUUCCAAAGGUCCUCGGACGAACGUAACAUGACUUUUGACCUCAAAUCAGGUAGGACUACCCGCUGAACUUAAGCAUAUCAAUAAGCGGAGGCU
rnacentral:misc_RNA from 1 species